GACGAACGCUGGCGGCGUGCUUAACACAUGCAAGUCGAGCGGUAAGGCCCUUUCGGGGGUACGACGAGCGGCGAACGGGUGAGUAACACGUGGGUGACCUGCCCUCAGCUCUGGGAUAAGCCUGGGAAACUGGGUCUAAUACCGGAUAUGACUCCAUGACGCAUGUUGUGGGGUGGAAAGCCUUGUGCGGCUGAGGAUGGGCCCGCGGCCUAUCAGCUUGUUGGUGGGGUGAUGGCCUACCAA
rnacentral:rRNA from 1 species